CCGUGGCGACCGGCGCACGGGUGAGUAACACGUAUCCAACCUGCCGAUAACUCGGGGAUAGCCUUUCGAAAGAAAGAUUAAUACCCGAUGGCAUAAUAGAACCGCAUGGUUUGAUUAUUAAAGAAUUUCGGUUAUCGAUGGGGAUGCGUUCCAUUAGGCAGUUGGUGGGGUAACGGCCCACCAAACCUUCGAUGGAUAGGGGUUCUGAGAGGAAGGUCCCCCACAUUGGAACUGAGACACGGUCCAA
rnacentral:rRNA from 1 species